rnacentral:rRNA from 1 species
CCUACGGGGAGCUGCAGUGGGGGAUAUUGCACAAUGGGGGAAACCCUGAUGCAGCGACGCCGCGUGGGUGAAGAAGCGCCUCGGCGCGUAAAGCCCUGUCAGCAGGGAAGAAAAUGACGGUACCUGAAGAAGAAGCCCCGGCUAACUACGUGCCAGCAGCCGUGGUAAUACGUAGGGGGCAAGCGUUAUCCGGAUUUACUGGGUGUAAAGGGGGCGCAGACGGCGGUGCAAGCCAGGAGUGAAAGCCCGGGGCCCAACCCCGGGACUGCUGUUGGAACUGCGUGGCUAGAGUGCAGGAGGGGCAGGCGGAAUUCCUGGUGUAGCGGUGAAAUGCGUAGAUAUCAGGAGGAACACCGGUGGCGAAGGCGGCCUGCUGGACUGCAACUGACGUUGAGGCCCGAAAGCGUGGGGAGCAAACAGGAUUAGAUACCCGAGUAGUC